rnacentral:rRNA from 1 species
GAUGAACGCUGGCGGCGUGCCUAAUACAUGCAAGUAGAACGCUGAAGGAGGAGCUUGCUCUUCUGGAUGAGUUGCGAACGGGUGAGUAACGCGUAGGUAACCUGCCUGGUAGCGGGGGAUAACUAUUGGAAACGAUAGCUAAUACCGCAUGACAACAGUUAUUGCAUGAUAACUGUUUAAAAGGGGCAACUGCUCCACUACCAGAUGGACCUGCGUUGUAUUAGCUAGUUGGUGAGGUAACGGCUCACCAAGGCGACGAUACAUAGCCGACCUGAGAGGGGGAUCGGCCACACUGGGACGGAGACACGGCCCAGACUCCUACGGGAGGCAGCAGUAGGGAAUCUUCGGCAAUGGACGGAAGUCUGACCGAGCAACGCCGCGUGAGUGAAGAAGGUUUUCGGAUCGUAAAGCUCUGUUGUAAGAGAAGAACGAGUGUGAGAGUGGAAAGUUCACACUGUGACGGUAUCUUACCAGAAAGGGACGGCUAACUACGUG